rnacentral:lncRNA from 1 species
UGUGUACCUGUCUCACUGUGUGUACCUGUCUCACUGCGUGUACCUGUCUCACUGCGUGUACCUGUCUCACUGUGUGUACCGGUCUCUCUGUGUGUAUCUGUUUUACUGUGUGUACCUGUCUCACUGUGUGUACCUGUCUCACUGCGUGUACCUGUCUCACUGUGUGUACCUGUCUCACUGCGUGAACCUGUCUCACUGCGUGAACCUGUCUCACUGCGUGUAUCAGACGUGCUCGAGGAGCUCGAUGUCGGCAGCUGAAGAGCUGGAGGGCAGAAGGAAGGAGGUGUUACCUGUAGGAGAGGCGGAGCUAAUGAGACGAGUGGCCAUGCCUAAAGAAAAGGAUCAGACUGAGAUUCUGAAAGAGAGGAAAAGCCCAGAGAUCCACCUGCUGAGAUCACCUGACCACCUCACACCCCUCCCCACUGAAAACAGUGUGCAGACAGCAGUAAUGGUGCGAGUGGGAACGGAGGAGGAGGAGGAGGAGGAAGAGGAAAAGCUCUCUGAUCAAAACCAAGAUCAAAUAAUUAAAGACUCGUUUGAUCUGACCCCCUCUAAACUCGGGACUCUGGUUUCAGAGGACCCGGAUUGCGCCACCUGCUGGAGCAGAUAGAGAACUGCAGGAAUAAAAUUCAGCUGUUCUUACUGUUUUUAACCCUU